AUGGUUCUUGAUUCAUUAUCAUCGCCUCACAGGAGGUCGCAAAACACAUUCUUUCUGUCAUCUCCUAAGAAGCCUCAAUCAUCUCGUGAUGAUGUUGGUAGUUGGUCUGCCCUGGUUGAGCGGCAUCGCUUUCUCUUGACAACGCUAGUGGUGCUUGCCUUCCUGUGCACCAUAUAUCUUUACUUCGCGGUGACCUUGGGGGCACCACAAGCUUGCUCAGGGUUGACGGGCGAUGAAAUGACCGUAUGUCAGGAAAAAUCAGCCCUGCAACAUGGAAAGUUGAAAUAUGGCUAA
rnacentral:rRNA from 1 species